ACCGGCGGCUCGAGUGGUGGCCACUAUUACUGGGCUUAAAGCGUUCGUAGCUGGCUUGUUAAGUCUCUGGGGAAAUCUUCCGGCUCAACCGGAAGGCGUCUCAGGGAUACUGGCAGGCUAGGGACCGGAAGAGGUGAGAGGUACUCCAGGGGUAGGAGUGAAAUCGUGUAAUCCGUGGGGGACGACCUGUGGCGAAGGCGUCUCCCCAGAACGGCUCCGACAUUGAGGAGCGAAAGCUGGGGGAGCAAACAG
rnacentral:rRNA from 1 species